rnacentral:rRNA from 1 species
AACAAACGCUGGCGGCGUGCCUAACACAUGCAAGUCGUACGAGAAAGUUGGCUUCGGCCAAUGAGUAAAGUGGCGCACGGGUGAGUAACGCGUGGAUAAUCUGCCCCUCAGUUGGGAAUAACUCAUCGAAAGGUGAGCUAAUACCGAAUAACACUGUGAGACUUUGGUCGAUCAGUUAAAGGGAGCCUCUGCUUGCAAGCUUUCGCUGAAGGAUGAGUCCGCGUACCAUUAGCUUGUUGGUAGGGUAAUGGCCUACCAAGGCGACGAUGGUUAGCGGGUCUGAGAGGAUGAUCCGCCACACUGGAACUGAAACACGGACCAGACCUCCUACGGGAGGCUG